GUGCAGCAGGCGCGAAUCCUUCGCAAUGCGCGAAAGCGCGACGAGGGACUCCGAGUGCCUAUGCUCAGCAUAGGCUGUUCACCGGUGUAAAAGCCGGUGGAGGAAGGGGUGGACAAGACUGGUGCCAGCCGCCGCGGUAAUACCAGCGCCCAAGUGGUGAUCGAUAUUAUUGGGUCUAAAACGUCCGUAGCCGGCCCGGUAAAUCUCCGGGUAAAUCGUCCAGCUUAAC
rnacentral:rRNA from 1 species